UACGUAGGGGGCAAGCGUUGUCCGGAAUUACUGGGCGUAAAGCGUGCGCAGGCGGUUUUGUAAGUCUGUCGUGAAAUCCCCGGGCUCAACCUGGGAAUUGCGAUGGAGACUGCAAGGCUAGAAUCUGGCAGAGGGGGGUAGAAUUCCACGUGUAGCAGUGAAAUGCGUAGAGAUGUGGAGGAACACCGAUGGCGAAGGCAGCCCCCUGGGUCAACAUUGACGCUGAGGUGCGAAAGCGUGGGGAGCAAACAGG
rnacentral:rRNA from 1 species